UCCUACGGGAGGCAGCAGUUGGGCGAAAGCCUGAUCCAGCCAUGCCGCGUGAGUGAUGAAGGCCCUAGGGUUGUAAAGCUCUUUCAACGGUGAAGAUAAUGACGGUAACCGUAGAAGAAGCCCCGGCUAACUUCGUGCCAGCAGCCGCGGUAAUACGAAGGGGGCUAGCGUUGUUCGGAAUUACUGGGCGUAAAGCGCACGUAGGCGGAUAUUUAAGUCAGGGGUGAAAUCCCGGGGCUCAACCCCGGAACUGCCUUUGAUACUGGGUAUCUCGAGUCCGAGAGAGGUGAGUGGAAUUCCGAGUGUAGAGGUGAAAUUCGUAGAUAUUCGGAGGAACACCAGUGGCGAAGGCGGCU
rnacentral:rRNA from 1 species